ACGAACGCUGGCGGCACGCUUAACACAUGCAAGUCGAACGAGAGAAGAGAAGCUUGCUUUUCUGAUCUAGUGGCGGACGGGUGAGUAACACGUGAGCAAUCUGCCUUUCAGAGGGGGAUACCGAUUGGAAACGAUCGUUAAUACCGCAUAAUAUAAUUGAACCGCAUGAUUUGAUUAUCAAAGAUUUAUCGCUGAAAGAUGAGCUCGCGUCUGAUUAGCUAGUUGGUAAGGUAACGGCUUACCAAGGCGACGAUCAGUAGCCGGACUGAGAGGUUGAUCGGCCACAUUAGGACUGAGACACGGUCCAGACUCCUACGGGAGGCAGCAGUGGGGAAUAUUGCACAAUGGAGGAAACUCUGAUGCAGCGAUGCCGCGUGAGGGAAGAAGGUUUUAGGAUUGUAAACCUCUGUCUUCAGGGACGAAAAAUGACGGUACCUGAGGAGGAAGCUCCGGCUAACUACGUGCCAGCAGCCGCGGUAAUACGUAGGGAGCGAGCGUUGUCCGGAAUUACUGGGUGUAAAGGGAGCGUAGGCGGGAUCGCAAGUCAGAUGUGAAAACUAUGGGCUUAACCCAUAAACUGCAUUUGAAACUGUGGUUCUUGAGUGAAGUAGAGGUAAGCGGAAUUCCUAGUGUAGCGGUGAAAUGCGUAGAUAUUAGGAGGAACAUCAGUGGCGAAGGCGGCUUACUGGGCUUUAACUGACGCUGAGGCUCGAAAGCGUGGGGAGCAAACAGGAUUAGAUACCCUGGUAGUCCACGCCGUAAACGAUGAUUACUAGGUGUGGGGGGACUGACCCCUUCCGUGCCGCAGCAAACGCAAUAAGUAAUCCACCUGGGGAGUACGACCGCAAGGUUGAAACUCAAAGGAAUUGACGGGGGCCCGCACAAGCAGUGGAGUAUGUGGAUUAAUUCGAAGCAACGCGAAGAACCUUACCAGGUCUUGACAUCGUAUGCAUAGCUCAGAGAUGAGUGAAAUCUCUUCGGAGACAUAUAGACAGGUGGUGCAUGGUUGUCGUCAGCUCGUGUCGUGAGAUGUUGGGUUAAGUCCCGCAACGAGCGCAACCCUUACUGUUAGUUGCUACGCAAGAGCACUCUAGCAGGACUGCCGUUGACAAAACGGAGGAAGGUGGGGAUGACGUCAAAUCAUCAUGCCCCUUAUGACCUGGGCCUCACACGUACUACAAUGGCUGUCAACAGAGGGAAGCAAAGCCGCGAGGUGGAGCAAACCCCUAAAAGCAGUCUUAGUUCGGAUUGUAGGCUGCAACCCGCCUACAUGAAGUCGGAAUUGCUAGUAAUCGCAGAUCAGCAUGCUGCGGUGAAUACGUUCCCGGGCCUUGUACACACCGCCCGUCACGCCAUGGGAGUCGGUAACACCCGAAGCCUGUAGUCUAACCGCAAGGAGGACGCAGUCGAAGGUGGGAUUGAUGACUGGGGUG
rnacentral:rRNA from 1 species